CAACAAACUGAUCUGUUUUAUUUGUGCAACUGUGAAGGAACACAAGUCUCACAGCUUAACGCUGAUAGAAGAAGCAAUUGAAUUCUACAAGGAACAGGUGAAAUCUUCUUUCGAAUCUCUCACAAAAAAGGAAUCAGAGAUCCAGAAAAUGGAGCAGGAACAGAAAGGGGGCAUUUCUGGAGUUCAGGAAGGGUCACACAACCUUCAGUCACUGAUCACAUCCCAGUUUGCUGAAAUGCACCAGAUUCUCACUGAUAAAGAGGAGCGCUUGCUCUGAGAUGUCCGGGAAGAAGAGGAGAAGAUUGUAAAAACAAUGGAGAAAAAUCUUCAAGAGGUACAAAAUAAUUUAAAUUCCAUUCGGGAGGAACUCUCAAAGCUACAGGAACAGAUAGACCUCAAGGACGACCUGAUAUUUCUGAAGGAGGAAGCUGGUCGCAACACAUGGGUUUGUGAUGAAGCCAAACCAAUGUCGGUGGUGGAUGGCGCGCUGCCAAUUGAAAAGUUUGAUCACACCUUUUUCUUCAACAUUGCAUUGAAAGAACAUUUUGAUAUAAUCA